GAACAAAACACUCAUAGAUAUAGAAGCAUUUUUGAAUAAUAAUCUCUUAACUGCAAUCAAAAUAAGCAGUCUUUCUGAGCAUCCUCAGAGUCCACUUCUACAACCAGAUGGUAAAAACAGCCAUGUUGGUAAUCCAUCAAAGAUUUCACAUCAUUCAGUUAGAUCUGGAGAAAUAUCUGUGAAGAUUCCUUUAGUUGCAGCACAUAAUGCAAAACAGAAAAACAGCCCUUCUGUAUGUGAAAUAGCAGAUGAUCUUUGUAGAAACACUGCUGUUGCAUCCAACAAAGUCUCCUCAGAUAAGAUCAGUUCUGAACUGUUACUGAGUUCUGAGAAAAGUAAUUCAAAACCGAAUGAAAUAGACAAAAUGCAAAUGGUCUUAGAUGCAAGUGUGUGUGUCAAAGAAAAUCAGCCAUGGACAGAACUCAAUUGUAGCUGUGUUAUCAUCUCUGAUGUCAGUAAUGUACCAUCUAUGGGCCCAUUUGAAGAGUUUAUGAAACCACACUAUGAUAGUCCAUUACCAUUAAAUGAAAAUAUGACUGAGUGGAAGAAACAUGCACUAUUUUGUAGAUCAGAUAUUAAAUCUACUAUAAAGGAAUGUAAUAAAGAGGGGAGUCUAAAUAAUGAGUCAUAUAAUAUAACUGAUAAUGGCAAAGUGAUUACCACUACAAGUGCUUGGCCAGAACUAAGUUUGUCGCCUCAACUUCCUCCUUUACCAGUUCAGUCUAUCAAUGAAUUUGGUAAGACAGAAUCAAAUAAGAUGCACUUGGUUAGUGAGAGAAAGCCUGAGGAAACUGUUUAUGAUGCUGAUAUGGAAUUGACAGCUAGUGAUUUGCGCGAGAUCCUCACAGUUGCAUCAAAAGCCAAAAAUAAUAGGAAUAGUAAUGUAAAAAAUGAUAAAAUUUCGGCAAAUUUAAGAAAGGUGAGAUAUUCAAAUACAGGAAAAAAGAAUAAAAAGAAAAUGAACAGCAAUACUAGACGCAUUUCUGGUUUUCCAAAUGAGGACGGGUACAAAAAUACUGAAGUUGCUAAAAAUUCAAAUAUUGCUGAACCAGAAGCUGACAUGUUUCAAAUGCAGAUAAAACCUGUGGCUCAAGGGAAUGCUUUGAAGAAAUGGAAAUUGCUGAGAAUCAAUAAACAUGAUUUUGGACAGAACUCUCAAAACAAUCAUAAAAAUGUCAGACAGACCUAUGUGGUUAAUUUAGCAUGUCCUGAUGAACCAAAACAAGAAAAAAAUAAAGAAGGUUGCUUGGAAAACAUGGCUGACAAGCUCCAAAACCCUGACUUUAUCUUAUCCUCUAGCAAGGUGCUAUCAAAAGAUUAUAGUAUUAAAAGUUUACAAAGUAAAGAAAAUGACAUGUCCAAUACCUUGUCUCUAGAGCAGAACUUAGCAGUUACAAAUGGGAAGCAUAAUAGACCAAAAAUAAACAGAAAAAACUUUCAAAUCCCUUCUGAAAUGAGCAAAACAAACUACUAUGGAGAAAAAACUGGACAGCAGCCAGACAGCUGUUCAAAAAGUUCCAAUGCAAAGGCAUGCCAAUCUGAUUGUAAGACAAAACAAGACCAGAAGAGUAACAGAAAGAGUGAAUAUCACAAAGAUAAUAGCUGCAGGGACAGUUCUAGUUAUACUGUACCUAUUCAGAAGAUAGGCCAAAAGGUUAAUAUUUCACCAGGAAGCUCAAA
ensembl:lncRNA